rnacentral:rRNA from 1 species
GAUGAACGCUAGCGAUAGGCUUAACACAUGCAAGUCGAGGGGCAGCAUGAACAAAGCUUGCUUUGUUUGAUGGCGACCGGCGCACGGGUGCGUAACACGUAUGCAACUUACCCAUAAAUCGGGGAUAACCCGGAGAAAUUCGGACUAAUACCCGAUGGUAUUAAGAGAAGGCAUCUUCACUUAAUUAAAGAUUUAUCGAUUAUGGAUAGGCAUGCGCAUGAUUAGCUAGUUGGUGAGGUAACGGCUCACCAAGGCGACGAUAGUUAUCCGGCCUAAGAGGGUGAACGGACACAUUGGGACUGAGAUACGGCCCAGACUCCUACGGGAGGCAGCAGCUAAGAUAUUCCGCAAUGGAGGAAACGUACUGACGGAGCGACGCCGCGUGGAUGAUGAAGGCCGGAAGGUUGUAAAAUCCUUUUAAGC